GGCUCCUGAUUUUUAUCUUCACUAUUUGUAGUUUUUCUAAUCAUUACAUUUAAUAUAAUUAAUAAUUUUAUAUUUUAUAUUUGCAUUGAGGUAUAUAACGAAUAUUUUAUUUUAAAAAACUAAAAUAUAGAUUAUAAAUACAUAAGAUGAAAAAAUAUGGACAUUUUGGAAUGGGUAGAUAGGAAUAUAUGAAAACCAAUGAAAUUGAGAGUAGAGCUUUAACAACUAAAUUAUGAAGAAGUUCAUCCAUCAGGAUAAG
rnacentral:lncRNA from 1 species